rnacentral:sRNA from 1 species
AUGCCGUUAAAUUUAUGUUUGGACUUUUGGCGGAUCAGUGUUAAUGCAGUAAA